rnacentral:rRNA from 1 species
CGGGUGAGUAACACGUAUGCAACCUGCCUGCCACAGCCGGAUAAUCGGGAGAGAUUCCGUCUAAUACGGCAUAAUGCAUCGACGGGACAUCCUGUUGGUGCCAAAGGUUAAUUCCGGUGGCGGAUGGGCAUGCGUCGCAUUAGUUAGUUGGCGGUGUAACGGACCACCAAGACGACGAUGCGUAGGGGUUCUGAGAGGAAGGUCCCCCACACUGGUACUGAGACACGGACCAGACUCCUACGGAAGGCAGCAG